AUGUUUCUGUGGAUUUGGAAGAAGCUUCUACAAGGAAAACCCUUUAGGAGCAGGUAUAUUCAGCUACUCUUCCUGACGAGGAAGAAAAGGGAGAUGCUCAUAGCACCAAUGUUAAUCUUAUGGAUGCAAAUAUCACAAAUGAAUGGACAACAGAUAAAGCAUUUUCCUGAAUUCUUGCUUCUACAAGAAGGAGAGAACUUCACUACAUACUGCAAUUUCACGAGCAACUUUUACAACUUACAGUGGUAUAAGCAGAGGCCUGGGGGCAGUCCUGUCCUCUUGAUGAUAUUAGCUAAGAGUGGAGAAGUAAAGACGCAGCAGAGACUGACAGUUCGGUUUGGAGAAUCCAGACAGCACAGCUCCCUGCACCUCACGGCUGCCCAGCCCUCAGAUGUGGGAACCUACUUCUGUGCGGGGCACAGUGCUCUGGAAGCAUCUGCUGUCUGUCCCCAAACCUCACUGUGGGCUCCAGGGGCCGCCCCUCCUCAACUCCCCUCAGAGCAGGGGCCAGAGAAAGCUGAAGUCAUGAUGUCGACGAAGAAACUGAAUUUUUAA